AGUCGUAACAAGGUUUCCGUAGGUGAACCUGCGGAAGGAUCAUUACUGAGACUGGGUGCUUCGGCGCCCGACCUCCAACCCCCUGUUUACCUUACCACUGUUGCCUCGGCGUUCCCGCCCGCGUCCCCCUCGCGGGGGGUGCUGGGUGGUGCGCCGGCGGCCAAAACUACAAACCCUUUCUCUAAACUAGCAAUCUGAGAAAUUAUUUUAAUAACUUCAAAACUUUCAACAACGGAUCUCUUGGUUCUGGCAUCGAUGAAGAACGCAGCGAAAUGCGAUAAGUAAUGUGAAUUGCAGAAUUCAGUGAAUCAUCGAAUCUUUGAACGCACAUUGCGCCCUCUGGUAUUCCGGAGGGCAUGCCUGUUCGAGCGUCAUUAUCAACCAUCAAGCUCUGCUUGGAAUUGAGCGUCACCCCCCCCUCACCGGGGUGGGAGCGCUUCAAACCGGUCGGCGGUGGCUCAGGCCUCUUAAGCGUUAGUAGAUGGAAGCCAAUUUAUGGAAUCCUCUUCGAAAUUCAAUGGCGAAGACCCUUGCUCUCCCAAGUGUAGUAAUAACUUAUGUCACUGAAGGAAGCGAGAAAUCUUCUGCCGUAACCCCCAUAUUUUCUAUGAUUGACCUCGGAUCAGGUAGGGAUACCCGCUGAACUUAAGCAUAUCAAUAAGCGGAGGAUGGAAGUAAAAGUCG
rnacentral:rRNA from 1 species